CCUCGCGGCGGCCGGCGGGAUAAGUCGGGACGCUGCGCCCGCUGCUCCCCCGGACCCGGGGCCGCCUGCCCAGCCCAGCCCGGAGGUGCCCCCCGCCGGCCGGACGUCCCUCAGCCCCUCACGCCCGGGGCUGGGUCUCCGGAGUCCCCACGGCCUGCCUGGAGGGAGGCGUGUCUGGAACUCGGAGCUGGCGGGACGCUCGCCGGCGUCGCAGAACAUGGGGUUCGAAACCCCGCUCCGCUGUCUCUCCGCGCCGCGGACCUCAGGCUUUUGAGCCUCAGUUUCCCCGCUCGGGCGGGCACCUCGGAGGCAGAGGCACAACCACUGGCACAAGACCAUGGAACCCCUCAGUGUUCCCUUGUUCCUUGAUACGAUAUCUAUGUGCUGUAAAAGAGAUAGAUCCUCUCCUCCUACCUUCCAGAAAUCAGUUACUGUAUGAUCCCAUUUAUAUGUGGAAUAUAAAAAGCCCAAAAUAAAUGAAGAAAAACCUCCAGAAACAGACUCAUAGAUAUAAAGAACAAGCUGGUGGUUGCCAAUAGGAAGGGUCUGGAUGAUGGAAAUAAAAAAAAGGUAUAUCCACUAAAAAAAGUUA